rnacentral:lncRNA from 1 species
GUUCGAGUUAUCCUAGCAGAAUUACAGGCAAUCCUGUCAGAAUUACUGUGUUUGGUUCAUCCGCUAUGUAAUCUAAUCGUUAAUAUAGUAUUACAAAUCGAGCAGUAUUACACCGUAAAUAUUAAUGAGAAGGGGGUUGUGUAUCUUACAUUACUGAAAACCAGUAAUAUUACAUAUUAUGUAAAAUAACAAUUUUACCCCUCUAACUUCCGAAACCCUUUCAAUAUGUCAUUUUAAAAAAAAUAAUUUUAAAUUUCAAACUCUAAAUUUAAAAUUCAAAUUUAAAUUUUAAAUUUGAAUUUAAAUUUUAGAUUUUAAAUUUCAAAUUCUAAAUUUUAAAUUUCAAAUUUNNNNNNNNNNNNNNNNNNNNNNNNNAUUUAUAUUUUGAAUUUUAAAUUUAUAAAUUUCAUAUUUAUAUUUUAAAUUAAAAUAUUAAAUUUAUAUUUUUGUUCAAAUUUAAAAUUUAAAAUUUAAAAUUUAAAAUUUUUAAAAAUAAAUUAUUUUAAAAUAAAAUUUAGUAAAAAAAUAUUAUUUAUAAACAGUAAAAAAAAAAAUUUACAAAAUAUGGUUAAGAGCAAUUUUGGAAUAGACUAUACUUUAUUGUCUUGAUUAUUGAAUUUUAUAGAUAGAACCAAACAUAUUAAUGUUAUAACCACUGCAAUCCAGCAUUAUAUUACUGUAUUAAACCAAACGCGCUAAUGCAGUAUAGGUAGUAAUCUCUUUUAGAAAUCCAAAAUACUUGGAUAUAUCGAAAUACUCUGUAAUAUUAUAUAAGUUGAACCAAACACGCCCUUAGGA